rnacentral:misc_RNA from 1 species
CCUACUGUUUUGGCAAAUAUUACUCGGUUCAGUCAAAAUAGGAGUCCACCUUUCGUUGCCAGUUGAUGUUUUUGGGCGAUAAUAAUGAGUAAAAACUCCAUCAAAAUUGAGAGUUGCUCUGUGAUAGAAGUUUCCAGUUGGAGGUUCCACACUGAGAGUGAAUUUUUGGCGAUUUUCUCUCAAUAUAUACAAGUAUCCUGAUGAAUUGAAGAUCAAUUGGUAACCAGGACUCGAGGAAUUUGAAUCGCCUUCAGUGCCGCUUUCAUAAUAAGGUUCAUUAGUAUGAGUAGAGGGCAAGUUUACUGUAGCAAGGACAAGAUUACCAUCUUCUUGAAGUUUCAGCUGAAACCUUCCCCUGGAAAAAUUGGCAUCUGAAUAUCGAGAAGAAAGCACCCCUUGCCUGUCCAAGGUUUGUGAAGGCAAUAUUGUAUCAGUAGGAUUCUUGAAGCUUUCCCAAGCGACAGAAGGACCAUCUUGAAGUACAAAAUUGCCAGCAUCCGUCAUGGCACCAGAAGUAACAGCGCCAGUUGUCACAGAUCUCCAUAGCUCCGCGCCUCGUGGGUUAGUAAGGACUAGCCCGCCAUCGGUUAGCUCGACUUUUGAAUUCUUGGGUGCAGGGUCAUCUCCAUUAGCAUACCAAACAAUGGUUUUUUCUGGUAUGUUGUCAUACCAAAUAGCAAGCAAGAAGAGAUCGACGCUGUUGUUUAGUUGACGAAAACCAAAGGCAAAGUCACCAGAAGGUGAAAGCCAUGAGGAGUUUUGAUCAGAUGCAGUGAGAGAAGCACCCACAGUUAGAUUACCUCCGUUUUGAGCAAGAGCAAAACUUGGCAGCAGAAAGAGUAAGGAAAAGGAAAGAGGAACAAGAGCAAAAGCCAUUAGCGAAGGCAGCCUGGUUACCUCGUCAAAGUAAAGAAAUU